CGUAGGUGGCAAGCGUUGUCCGGAUUUAUUGGGUUUAAAGGGUGCGUAGGCGGCCCUGUAAGUCAGUGGUGAAAUAUCUCAGCUUAACUGAGAGGGUGCCAUUGAUACUGCGGGGCUUGAGUACAGAUGAGGUAGGCGGAAUUGACGGUGUAGCGGUGAAAUGCAUAGAUAUCGUCAAGAACUCCGAUAGCGAAGGCAGCUUACUAAGCUGUAACUGACGCUGAGGCACGAAAGUGUGGGGAUCAAACAGGAUUAGAUACCCUGGUAGUCCACACUGUAAACGUUGAUGACUCGAUGUUGGCGAUACACAGCCAGCGUCCAAGAGCAAUCGUUAAGUCAUCCACCUGGGGGGUACGCCGGCAACGGUG
rnacentral:rRNA from 1 species